rnacentral:rRNA from 1 species
AUUGAACGCUGGCGGCAGGCCUAACACAUGCAAGUCGAGCGGGGUUUUCGGACCUAGCGGCGGACGGGUGAGUAAUGCGUAGGAAGCUACCCGAUAGAGGGGGAUACCAGUUGGAAACGACUGUUAAUACCGCAUAAUGUCUACGGACCAAAGUGUGGGACCUUCGGGCCACAUGCUAUCGGAUGCGCCUACGUGGGAUUAGCUAGUUGGUGGGGUAAUGGCUCACCAAGGCGACGAUCCCUAGCUGGUUUGAGAGGAUGAUCAGCCACACUGGAACUGAGACACGGUCCAGACUCCUACGGGAGGCAGCAGUGGGGAAUAUUGGACAAUGGGCGCAAGCCUGAUCCAGCCAUGCCGCGUGUGUG